AGGAUAAUAGUUUAAUAAAACAUUUAAUUUGCAUUUAAAAAUUAUAAUCUUAAUUAUUUAUCUUA
rnacentral:tRNA from 1 species